rnacentral:rRNA from 1 species
UUGAACGCUGGCGGCAUGCUUUACACAUGCAAGUCGAACGGUAACAGGCCUUCGGGUGCUGACGAGUGGCGAACGGGUGAGUAAUGCAUCGGAACGUACCCAGAGGUGGGGGAUAACGCAGCGAAAGCUGUGCUAAUACCGCAUGUGAUCUGAGGAUGAAAGCGGGGGACCGAGCAGCAAUGUUUGGCCUCGCGCCUUUGGAGCGGCCGAUGUCGGAUUAGCUAGUUGGUGGGGUAAAGGCCUACCAAGGCGACGAUCCGUAGCUGGUCUGAGAGGACGACCAGCCACACUGGGACUGAGACACGGCCCAGACUCCUACGGGAGGCAGCAGCGGGGAAUUUUGGACAAUGGGCGCAAGCCUGAUCCAGCAAUGCCGCGUGCGGGAAGAAGGCCUUCGGGUUGUAAACCGCUUUUGGCAGGAACGAAACGGUGUCCGCUAAUACCGGGCGCUAAUGACGGUACCUGCAGAAUAAGCACCGGCUAACUACGUG